GUAAAAUUAAAAUCAUUCCACAUUUUAUUUACGGACCGGUUUCGGUUUUUAUCAGAUGAAAGUGUACGUCAUGUUUGACGUCACUUCUGCAGCAGAAGAGUUGGGUGUUGAAAAAAAACCCCAAAGCUGAUUAGACUGACGAUUGAACACAAAGCUGAUUUGACUGACGAUUUAAACCCAAAGCUGGUUUGGCAGACGAUGCAAUGCAGAGAGAAUGUCAAUUGGCUUAAAGAAAGAUUUAGCAUCAACCCCUGGAUUUCUUUUAAGGAUACAGAUUAGUACAGGAGAUGCUCAGCAAUCUGGCAAAGAAGGCUGGCUGGACAUGAAAUGUUAUGGGAGUUAUGUCUAGCUUUGGAUCCACUGAAUUCACAUA